AGUCUUUGUUGGAUCAUUGUGUGUCUGUGAGCUCCUGUGAUGUUUCUGCUCCUGUCAUAGGUUUUUGUUUGUUUGUUACUCUGGGUCCUUGUGGUUUUCAGGAUUUUGUUUUGUGUUUUUCAUUUACCGGUAGAUUUUGCAGUGUACUCUUGCAAGUGUUUUUGUUAAUACAUUUUGUUCAGCCCACCCUGCUCCUCCUGCCUCCUUGCUUUUUGGGUCCCCUAAAUUCACGCAACAACAUAACACUAUUGUCUUUUAAAAAAACCCACUUUUUCAUGCAUCGUAGAAUUGUAUCUUACUAUGUUAUAUACUCAAGCUCAUGAACUGUAUUGUGUUUCUCGUAAAUACAUAUUGUAAACAUUAUUGCUUAGGUUAUGUUGAGUCAGUCUUUUUUUUCAUAUAAAUACCAUACUAUUUCUGCAAUUAUGGGUUCUGUAAAACAAAACAUUAGAUAAUUUGAUAUACCCCAGCUGUGUACUGAUAGUAUAUCCAGCAAUAUCAGCACAAAGUCCCACAAACGUUGGCAUGUAGUAAUGAAUUUUCUCCAGGUGCGGCACGUUGUCAUCGCAAGCCAUCCAGGAGUUGAUGCUCCCCUGAGGCAUGAUGUCGCAACAAACUAGAUUAACUCAUCAUUGCUGACUGUGAUAAACACAUUCUGGUGACUGUGUCCUUCCAGCAUCAUCAUGUUGACUGACAACAUCACACACCUUUAUAUGCAAAGGAAAAGAAAUCAUUGGGUAAUUUCCCAACUACCCGUAAUAAAAAUGAUCUUUCUUGACAAAUCACCCACUCUUAGCAAAGGAUAAUCGGAGCUUUACUGGAUUGCGAAAAAAAAAAAAGUUGUAUCUUUCUUAAAACACCUAAGACCCAUGUGUAGACAUGAUGUCAAAAACUGAUCUAAUCAGGAACAUUCAUACUUAACUGGAUUUAAAUUUCAACUGAAAUUAAUGUUUUACUGUGUAGUAUUAGUAUUAUUUAUGACAACAGUGCUUGAGAUGGCAUUGCUACCUUACUAACGGGUAACCUGAGGACUAUUCUGGGCGUCCUUUUACCAGCACACUUUGUGUGGUUUAGGCUACUACAGAAUGAAACUUCAUCUGUGGAGGUUUAAUAUUUAAAGACAGUUGAAGAGUUUGGUUCCCCGCUCAUGGAACCGGAUCAAAUCUUGCUUGUUCUCAUGGUCAGGACACAGGUUCCCAAAAUGAAGCACAGAAAAGAACUUCUCGGAUCUGGUUGGCGAACAGCUGAUCCUGGUUCCUUCACAUUAACCUUUCUGGGAAAGAAAGUAGGGCGACAUCACUCUGUGGCCCCUGCAGGCAAGAAAUGUGCCUGGGAGGGAAACAACCCAUCCACCUGCCCAGAAGAUCCUACAGUGUCUCCGAACCCUGGAAUGGUCCCAGUGGCGACACACGACCUGGAUCUACCAGGAAGCGUUGCACCAUUUAUGGAUGAGUGCUCAUGUCAAGAAGCCGGAGUGGGCACAACACAGCAGGUCAGAUAUGCAAACUGAUCAUCAUCACUUUAAAUUAAGUCAUAAACCCAAAAAGAAUUAAAGAUGAAUGAAAACGA